UGCAUUCACUACUGUAAGUCGCUCUGGAUAAGAGCGUCUACUAAUUGACAAAAA
rfam:Salmo salar isolate Sally breed double haploid chromosome ssa10, whole genome shotgun sequence.